UGACCUAUAGCUCAAUGGUUGGAGCAGGAGCCUUAUACGCUCAAGGAUAAGAGUUCGAAUCUCUUCGGGUCAA
rnacentral:tRNA from 1 species